rnacentral:rRNA from 1 species
CGAGGCGUACGGCUCAGUAACACGUAGUCAACCUACCCUGGAGACGCGGACAAUCGCGGGAAACUGCGUCUAAUACACGAUAGAUGACCUCCUCUGGAAGGAGAGGUCGUCGAAAAGGAUGCACGGGUAUGCUCCGUGCAUUCGCUCCAGGAUGGGACUGCGGCCGAUCAGGCUGUUGGCGGGGCAAUGGCCCACCAAACCUGUAACCGGUACGGGCUUUGAGAGAAGGAGCCCGGAGAUGGACACUGAGACAAGGGUCCAGGCCCUACGGGGCGCAUCAGGCGCGAAAACUUCGCAAUGCGCGAAAGCGUGACGAGGCUAGUCCGAGUGCUUCCCGCUGAGGGGAGCUUUUCUCGGCUGUAAAUAGGCCGGGGAAUAAGGGGAGGGCAAGUCUGGUGUCAGCCGCCGCGGUAAUACCAGCUCCUCGAGUGGUCGGGACGAUUAUUGGGCCUAAAGCACCCGUAGCCGGUUCGGUGAGUCCUCUGUCAAAUCCAACCGCUCAACGGUUGGCUCGCAGAGGAUACUGCCGGACUAGGAGGCGGGAGAGGCGGACGGUACUCCGCGUGUAGGGGUAAAUCCUAUAAUCCCGGGAAGACCACCAGUGGCGAAGGCUGUCUGCUAGAACGCGCCCGACGGUGAGGGAUGAAAGCCGGGGGAGCGAACCGGAUUAGAUACCCGGGUAGUCCCAGCUGUAAACGAUGCAGGCUAGGUGUUUGGACGGCCACGUGCCGUUCUAGUGCCGCAGGGAAGCUGUUAAGCCUGCCGCCUGGGGUACGAUCGGAAGAUUGAACUUAAAGGCCA